AACAUGAAACAUUGCUUUCCGUCAAAAGUGUUCAAGGUGGAAAUCGUUGACGCCAUUUCGUAUCUCGUUUCGCUGUUAGCGUCACGAAAGUUUUGUCCCUUUUUACUUUAAUUUAAUUUUGCCAAAACGUCGCAGCCACAUACACCUGUUCUUUUUUGUGAUUGUAAAAACGUAAAACACUGAAUUUUUACGUAUAAUGUAUAAUCAUAAAAUGGUUUCAUCUAAUCAACCGAGAAAAACAAAAAUAUUUGUGGGUCGGUUACCAGAAAAUUGUCGCAACGAUGAGUUGCGAGCAUUAUUUUUACGUUUUGGUGAGGUAACUGAGUGCGAUGUCAUGAAUCGGUAUGGGUUUGUCCACAUGGCGCGUGAGGAAGAUGCGGCUGCAGCGAUCAAAGCUCUUCACAAUUCCAACUUCAAAGGGGCGACAAUCAAUGUGGAACAGUCUACCGGCAAAUCACGUGGAGGAGGAGGAGGACGCAGGGAUGGCGACAGAAGAGGUGGACCAAUGAGAGGUGGUAGAGGAGGACGAGACGGUGGUAGAGACGCUCGUCCUGGACCUUACAAUGAUAGAAGAGUUCUUCCGAUCCAACUCGUUGGUUACGAUGGAUCUGCUGCAGGUGGCGUCGCAACCGGGUACACCGAUUACAAUCGUGGCGCUGGAGACUUUAGUGGACGUGGGGCUGACUUCGGGACCGGAUACACCGACCGUGGAGCGUACGGACAAAACGUGGGUAGCGCGGCGAUGGGCUACACUUCAACAGCGCCUGGAAUGGGAGGAGGAUACGGACCAGCGACCGGAGCAGUUGGAGGAUACGGACCUACCGGGACAGCUGACUACGGCCGAACAGACUAUAGCCGCGCUGCAGAUUUUGGAGCUAGAACAGAUUAUGUUGUUGGAGGUGGAAUGACUGGGGAUUUUAGUCGUGGCGCACCAGGUCCAAUGGAUUAUGGACGUACUGAUAACUUUGGUGCAAAUCGCACUGUUGAUUAUACAGCUAGAAAUGAUUAUGAUCGAACUGCAACAGGACCUAUGAGAAAUGGUGGUGGUGCGGUUGCCACUACUGGGUAUGGCACAGGGUACACAGAUGUAGGAUAUGAUGAAAGCCACUGGCCAAUGAGUACAGGACCCAGCUACAGCACUGGGGCACCUAGUUACAGUACUGGUCCAGGACCACAAGCAGAUAUGUUUAGUAGAAGACCAGGCAGUGCUGUUCCCAGUGGUGGAUAUCCUCCUGUUGGUGGAGGUUAUACCGAAGGAUACGACAGACCAGACGCAUAUGGUCCUCCGCGUAGUGGUGGACGAGUCGAACAGUUAGAUCAGACAGGGAUACAGAAGUGAAGUUUUCAAAACGCUCGCUGUGGACCAAGAUAUCGUACAUGCGUCUACUAUAGUUUCCACCAUAAACAUGUGUACAAAGUGUUUCCACUCGAUUAUCAUGGGACACUCUGUAUGUGUAUUUAUAAUUAUUCAUUUAUUCUUAACUCAUUGCACUCUCAAAUCUAUCUCAGUUUGUAUAAAUUACAGUUCAAAUAUUGCUUAAGAAAAUCACUGUGCAAAGAGUUAACGAUAAGAAACAAUGUUACCAAAUAAUUUCUUAAGUUUUUAAAUAUAACGUUGGAAUAUUUAGUGUUUACUUUGCUGAAUGUAUUCGGUCCACAGCGUCCGUACAUCAUAAAUUUCAAUGUUCCUAUUAUAGAAAUCUCCAUGUACAACAAAUGUUUCUUUGUCAAUUCGAAUUUCCUACCCUCUGUAAGAAACUAGUAUAAUACUGAACCAUACGUUCUGAUCUCGAUCAUUUGUAUUAAUUUGGUAUGUUUAAAAGAAAAAGUUCUAUUGAAUGUACGAAAGGUACUUUGUUAUGAAAAUACAAGUGUAAAUGCAGAACUUCAUUUGGAAGUUGAUGGAGAAAUCUACAAUGACUUGUACUUAGAACAGCGUAAUCUUGAAUUGUGCGACGAACCCGCGUAAGCGCAGCUCACUUCGAAUCCUGGUGGCAUAUCAACGUCAGAUUAUACGAAGAGACGAUAUCAAGUCGCUUACCUAUGCGUGUGGCCCGUAGAUGCGACCACUGGUGAAUAAUGCAAGCUUCGAUAUGCGGAUAACGUGCUACAAAUUGCGUUUGCGCUCAAAGCUGGCGGUGCUUUGAAUUUAAACAGAAGAUUACAAGCGGGAUGACGACUCAGUGAGGACAAUGAGAUGAACUCAGAUUGGAAGUAUGGGUCCUAAUAAUACCAUGGAGUCUCUUCCUGUAUACUCAGGUCCGUGGAUUUAUUCCAUCAACAAGAAUGUUUGCAACGACAUAAAAAAGAAGAAAGUUGCGGGAAAAGAAGAGAGAAAAGAAUUUCUCUUUUUGUUCAGGUGUAUUAAAGAUGUAAGGAACAACGAUCAUUAUUAUUUUUUCAAGUAUUUCAUAUUUCGUUCUGAUACACAUCACUGUUUGAUACGUGAAUGUAAGCAGUCAGUAUUAUAUUAUUGUCAACCCUCGGAUAGUGGUAAUUUACCUUGUAAAUCUAGAUCGUCAGUUUAAUAUUUCUUACACAAAGAAAUAGUAAACCAUUGUACAUAAGAUAAACAAAAAUCAGUCUCUGUUAAUUCGAAACCACUAUCUAAGGCUUAAUGAAAGUUAAGAAAAAAAUAAAUUUUCAAACUGAUGUCUACAUUACACUACCUAAUGUAUCUAUUGUUAUACUCGUCCUAAACUUGUAAAGAAAGAAAAUCUAUGUAAUAAAUAUUUUUUCCAUGUAUUAUUAAAUUGAAAAUAUUCAAUA